rnacentral:rRNA from 1 species
AUUGAACGCUGGCGGCAGGCCUAACACAUGCAAGUCGAGCGGAUGAAGGGAGCUUACUCCUGGAUUCAGCGGCGGACGGGUGAGUAAUGCCUAGGAAUCUGCCUGGUAGUGGGGGAUAACGUCCGGAAACGGGCGCUAAUACCGCAUACGUCCUGAGGGAGAAAGUGGGGGAUCUUCGGACCUCACGCUAUCAGAUGAGCCUAGGUCGGAUUAGCUAGUUGGUGGGGUAAAGGCCUACCAAGGCGACGAUCCGUAACUGGUCUGAGAGGAUGAUCAGUCACACUGGAACUGAGACACGGUCCAGACUCCUACGGGAGGCAGCAGUGGGGAAUAUUGGACAAUGGGCUAAAGCCUGAUCCAGCCAUGCCGCGUGUGUGAAGAAGGUCUUCGGAUUGUAAAGCACUUUAAGUUGGGAGGAAGGGCAGUAAGUUAAUACCUUGCUGUUUUGACGUUACCAACAGAAUAAGCACCGGCUAACUUCGUG